CAGCCCAAAAAGAAAAAGGGCCUAAACCCGCUAAGGAACCAAACCCACUCCAAUCAAAACAACAUGAUCCAGCUCACGCACAGAUCACUAGGUCUUCUUCCUUCCUCCCUCUUCCCUGACCCACACAGCCGCCGCCAUGGACGCAAAAACAAACCUCAGAUGUGCUGUUGUCUUGUGAUGUCUCUAUAGAUCUUGUCCUAACAAUCCUUCCUUCCAACCUCCUUCUCCUACGAUCGCCCAAAGUUCUACAACACCAGCACAAGUGGAUGAGUCUUUAUAUCAUACCCAAAUCACAUAUCUAUCUAAAGGAAAAGCAAAAGGAAGAAAAAGAAACAUGGAGAAGAAGCUGCUUCGGGUCAGUGCAAGGUGCUGAAAAAUUCAGGUCAAGGGAAUGAACAUGUGCAGUUGGUUAAAAAUUCAAUUAAUGUAACUUAUGAGGAGGCAUUGCUUGCACAAAGCUAUGGGGGACAAGAAGAGCAACACUACACAACAAAACAAAAAGAAUUAAGUAAACAAUUGUAGUAUAAAAGUAUAUCAUAUAGCAUAAAAAAAUAUAUGCAUGCACAGUUUUCCAAGAUCCUAAAAAACUUCAUCUCUGAUUUAUGUUUUGCAGGAAUUAAUUGAACUUCAGUUUGGAAAGCAAAGUUUCCAAAUGAUUAAUGAGCUGCUAGCACCACAAGGAGCCACACAUUCUUACACACAACUCAUGCAACAAAUGACUGUGAUGGGUCAUCUUCAAAGUGACAACAUGGCAAUCCUAUAACAAGUUUCACUUCGCUCUUGACAGCAGUCAUAAAUGCUGAGGAUCAGCAUCUAAUUGCAGAACCAAUAAUAAGCAACCAUACGCAAGUAGAAGAAGAACAUCAAGUUGAAGAAGAAGAUGAACAUGAAGCAGAUGAGUAUAAUUCUGAAUGCAACAGUGAUCAAAAUGAAACUGAUCCAGAGCAACAUUACCUACAAUGCAGUAGUGAUCAAAAUGAAACUAAUGCAGAGGAAGAUUACCUGGAAGAAAAUACAAUAAGUUGUGAUCAGUUCUGUGCAGAUCACGGGGAUUCAGAAUUGCACCAAAUAGAGCAGAGUUGGAACAAUUUUGAUUCAGUUAUUGAGCAAGAAAUGAUAAUAACUGAAAAAGAAGUAUUAGCACAUAGCAAUGAGGGAGCAUUGCAAGGUCCUGAUUACGCAGAAACAACAGAUACAGAUGGCACAAGUGGGAGUGAUGAAUCAGAGUUUGAAACAGAGCAACAACAAGAUGGAGAAACAGAAAAAAAACAAUUGUCACCUUGAUAACAGUGCUGAGUUCCCAAAGUCAGAACAACAGGAUGAGAUCAUAAAUGUAUCAAGCAAUAAUAAGAUAUCACGAAAAUAUAAGAAAGAUAACAAAGAUGAAAAUAAGUUAUCUCAGGAAGAUAUAUAAUUUUUCCUUUAGAAUGAGAGCAUAGAAAAGGCAUUGAAACUAAGCCAAGAAGAUGAGAAGAAUCACAUGCCAGCACUUAACAUGUCGUUUGAAAGUGAUGUUCAUGCACACCGAUUCUACAACGAAUAUGCAGCUAUCACAGGGUUCUCUAUACAGAAAGAUGCAAAAUAUCACUGCCAAAAGAAAGAUGCUCACAACAACAAAAUGACAAGAUUUACUAUGAAGUGAAAUAGGUCUGAUAAACCUAGAAAUAGGACAAAACCGACAGCAGCAGGAGCAAAAAGGAGAAAGUAUAAAUGUGAUAUGAAUGCCCUAUUGAGCUUGAGAACAUGACAGACAGAAGAAGGAACUAUAAAAUUAAAACAGGUUGUCAAGCUCAAAUGGUUGUUACCUAGAAAUUUGAGCUUGCACAAUGGGUGGUGACAAGGCUAAUCAUUGAGCAUAACCAUGAACUACAUCCACCAGGGGAAGUGAGGUUCCUGAGGUCACACAAAGAUAUCACUGAACAAGAGAAAGACUUGAUCAGGACUUGCAAACGAGUGAACAUACCAACUAGAAAGAUAAUGACAAUUAUGGAUUUGUUUCAAGGAAAAGGGCUAUCUCCAUUGACUAAC